GUAGGGAAUAUUGGACAAUGGGCGAAAGCCUGAUCCAGCCAUGCCGCGUGAUAGAUGAAGGCCCUCUGGGUUGUAAAUAUCUUUUAUCUGGGAAGAAACUCCUCUAUUCUUAGAGGCCUGACGGUACCAGAGGAAUAAGCACCGGCUAACUCCGUGCCAGCAGCCGCGGUAAUACGGAGGGUGCAAGCGUUAUCCGGAUUCACUGGGUUUAAAGGGUGCGUAGGCGGGUUGAUAAGUCAGUGGUGAAAGCUCCGGGCUUAACUUGGAAACUGCCAUUGAUACUGUCAGUCUUGAAUGUCGUAGAGGUAAGCGGAAUGUUGCAUGUAGCGGUGAAAUGCUUAGAUAUGUUACAGAACACCAAUUGCGAAGGCAGCUUACUAUGCGAUAAUUGACGCUGAGGCACGAAAGCGUGGGGAGCAAACAGGAUUAGAUACCCUAGUAGUCC
rnacentral:rRNA from 1 species